GUUGAGAUAGUAGAGGAGACUACACAUGUGAUGGCAGGGAGUACAUGCUGUACUUUGUGCUUAUUUUUGUUGUGAACCCAAAACUGAUCUAAAAAAUAGUCUGUGGGUCUGGGAGUCUGGCUUAGUGGUAAAGUGUACAAUUAAUAUGUGUGAGGCCGUGGUUCAGUCCCAAUAUCAAAAAGAAAAAAAAAAACAUGUCUAUAAAUUGUUUAAUCUGGGCAUGGUGGCCCUCCUAUAGUUAGUCCUAGCUACUUGGGAAGCUGAGGCAGGAGGAUCACUUGAGCCCAGGAAUUGGAGGCCAGCCUGGACAACAUAGAAAAAAUAGGGCUGGUGUUGUAGCUCAGUGUCAAGAGUGCAUGCCUAGUGUACAUGAGGCCUUUGAGUUCAGUCCCUAACACUACCAAAAAGAAGAAGAAAAAAAAAACAUUUGAACAAAAUCAGUAAGGAAGUGUCAUGGGUUAUUUUGUAGUAAAAGUAAAAUACAUGUCAACAGCAUAAAGUGCAGGAAGACAAAAAUCAAAAUAUAUUAAUGUAAGAAUCUUAAAUUCUGAAGUGAUAUUAAAACCUGGAGUGUGGAGUUGGGUGAGUUCUUUAUCUCAGGAAUUCAAACAAUGAGAUUCUCAGACAGUAGAAGGUGAAAACAAAGUAGAAGAAUUUAUUAGAGCAAAGCAAAGUAAAACUCCCACAGUGGGGAGGGGACCUGAGAGUGUUGGGAGUGAAUAGCUAUUGUAUAGGGUUUAUAUGGAUCUAUAAGUUUAAAUCAGUCAGUCCCUGGCCCAAUCAAAGUAUUGAUCAGGCAUUUUCUUUAUUUGGAGAGCCUGUGGACUCUCGGUCAUAUAUAUCCUGACUUCCUAUGGACUCCAGGUCACAUAUGUCCCAAUUUAAAAAUAACAUUUUUAGUGGGGCAUACUGGUGCACACCCGUAAUCCCAGCAGCUAGGGAGGCUGAGACAGGAGGAUUGCAAGUUCAAAGUCUGCCUCAAUGAAAAGCAAGACACUAAGCAACUCAGUGAGAUCCUGUCAAUAAAAU
rnacentral:tRNA from 1 species